UACGUAGGGCGCAAGCGUUAUCCGGAAUUAUUGGGCGUAAAGAGCUCGUAGGCGGUUUGUCGCGUCUGCCGUGAAAGUCCCGGGGCUCAACUCCGGAUCUGCGGUGGGGUACGGGCAGACUAGAGUGAUGUAGGGGAGACUGGAAUUCCUGGUGUAGCGGUGAAAUGCGCAGAUAUCAGGAGGAACACCGGUGGCGAAGGCGGGUCUCUGGGCCGAUACUGACGCUGAGGAGCGAAAGCAUGGGGAGCGAACAGG
rnacentral:rRNA from 1 species